rnacentral:rRNA from 1 species
AGUGAACGCUGGCGGUAUGCCUAACACAUGCAAGUCGAACGGCAGCACAGUAAGAGCUUGCUCUUACGGUUGGCGAGUGGCGGAUGGGUGAGGAAUACAUCGGAAUCUACUUUUUCGUGGGGGCUAACGUAGGGAAACUUACGCUAAUACCGCAUACGACCUACGGGUGAAAGCAGGGGAUCUUCGGACCUUGCGCGAUUGAAUGAGCCGAUGUCGGAUUAGCUAGUUGGCGGGGUAAAGGCCCACCAAGGCGGCGAUCCGUAGCUGGUCUGAGAGGAUGAUCAGCCACACUGGAACUGAGACACGGUCCAGACGCCUACGGGAGGCAGCAGUGGGGAAUAUUGGACAAUGGGCGCAAGCCUGAUCCAGCCAUACCGCGUGGGUGAAGAAGGCCUUCGGGUUGUAAAGACCUUUUGUUGGGAAAGAAAAGCAGCAGGUUAAUACCCAGCUGUUCUGACGGUACCCAAAGAAUAAGCACCGGCUAACUUCGUG